CACGUAGGGCGCAAGCGUUGUCCGGAAUUAUUGGGCGUAAAGAGCUCGUAGGCGGUCUGUUGCGUCCGCUGUGAAAAUUCGGGGCUUAACCCCGAGCCUGCAGUGGAUACGGGCAGACUAGAGGUAGGUAGGGGAGAAUGGAAUUCCCGGUGUAGCGGUGAAAUGCGCAGAUAUCGGGAGGAACACCGGUGGCGAAGGCGGUUCUCUGGGCCUUACCUGACGCUGAGGAGCGAAAGCGUGGGGAGCGAACAGG
rnacentral:rRNA from 1 species